rnacentral:rRNA from 1 species
UCAGUCGACUCCUACGGGGAGGCAGCAGUGGGGAAUAUUGCACAAUGGGGGAAACCCUGAUGCAGCCAUGCCGCGUGUGUGAAGAAGGCCUUCGGGUUGUAAAGCACUUUCAGUAGGGAGGAAGGUAGUGUAGUUAACACCUGCACUACUUGACGUUACCUACAGAAGAAGCACCGGCUAACUCCGUGCCAGCAGCCGCGGUAAUACGGAGGGUGCGAGCGUUAAUCGGAAUUACUGGGCGUAAAGCGCAUGCAGGCGGCCUGUUAAGUCAGAUGUGAAAGCCCGGGGCUUAACCUCGGAAUUGCAUUUGAAACUGGCAGGCUAGAGUCUUGUAGAGGGGGGUAGGAAUUUCAGGUGUAGCGGUGAAAUGCGUAGAGAUCUGAAGGAAUACCAGUGGCGAAGGCGGCCCCCUGGACAAAGACUGACGCUCAGAUGCGAAAGCGUGGGGAGCAAACAGGAUUAGAUACCCUGGUAG